GACGAACGCUGGCGGCGUGCUUAACACAUGCAAGUCGAGCGAUGAAACUUCUUCGGAAGUGGAUUAGCGGCGGACGGGUGAGUAACACGUGGGCAACCUGCCUCAUAGUGGGGAAUAGCCUCUCGAAAGGGAGAUUAAUACCGCAUAAGAUUGUAGUUCCGCAUGGAACAGCAAUUAAAGGAUUUAUUCGCUAUGAGAUGGGCCCGCGGCGCAUUAGCUAGUUGGUGAGGUAACGGCUCACCAAGGCGACGAUGCGUAGCCGACCUGAGAGGGUGAGCGGCCACAUUGGGACUGAGACACGGCCCAGACUCCUACGGGAGGCAGCAGUGGGGAAUAUUGCACAAUGGGGGAAACCCUGAUGCAGCAACGCCGCGUGAGUGAUGACGGUCUUCGGAUUGUAAAGCUCUGUCUUUAGGGACGAUAAUGACGGUACCUAAGGAGGAAGCCACGGCUAACUACGUGCCAGCCGCCGCGGUAA
rnacentral:rRNA from 1 species